AACGAACGCUGGCGGCAGGCUUAACACAUGCAAGUCGAGCGCCCGCAAGGGAGCGGCAGACGGGUGAGUAACGCGUGGGAAUCUACCCAGUUCUACGGAAUAACCCAGGGAAACUUAGACUAAUACCGUAUACGCCCUACGGGGGAAAGAUUUAUCGGAAUUGGAUGAGCCCGCGUUGGAUUAGCUAGUUGGUGAGGUAAUGGCUCACCAAGGCGACGAUCCAUAGCUGGUCUGAGAGGAUGAUCAGCCACACUGGGACUGAGACACGGCCCAGACUCCUACGGGAGGCAGCAGUGGGGAAUAUUGGACAAUGGGCGCAAGCCUGAUCCAGCCAUACCGCGUGAGUGAUGAAGGCCUUAGGGUUGUAAAGCUCUUUCAGUGGGGAAGAUAAUGACGGUACCCACAGAAGAAGCCCCGGCUAACUUCGUGCCAGCCGCCGCGGUAA
rnacentral:rRNA from 1 species